UGUGAGAAGGCUUCAACCCACCAUUGCUGACUUUGAAGACGGAGGAAGAGGAUCACUAGCCAAGGAAUUCUGGAGAAGUUUAGAAGCUAAAAAUGAUCCCAGGCUGACAGCCAGCCAGGAAAUGGCAACUCUGUCCUACAAAUGCAUGAAACUAAACUCUGCCUCCAACAACUGGAAUGAGUCUGGAAAAUUAAUCACCAGAGGCUCUGCAAAGGAACACAGCCCUCCUGCUAUGAGAGAUCUAGGAAGAGAAACCAGUUGAGCCUACCAGACUUCUGACUUACAGAACAGUUUGCAUCCUGCAGCUGGAUUUGAUGCUGUGAAAAGUGACUGCUUUGGAGCUUGGCAGAUAGAGCCUGGAAUCGUCCUUCUGCCCCGGACUUUUCCUUGAGUGAGCAAUAAUUCUCUGCUGUUUCUUCCUUGGAAUCUCCUGGAUGCAUUUGUCAUCUGAGGAUGUUCUUGCUGUAGAAACUGAGGGAGGGGCAAGAGCCCAGUUUCCUGGAGAGGCAACCCCGACCUGCCCCAAGAGACUGCCAUCCUCGGGAUUGAUGGGUUUCCUUCCAGCCCGUUUCUUGCACAUUUGCAUACAAUUCACAGACACAGCAAAAGGAGAGAAGUUUAUACUGAAUCCCCGACGACCUGUCACUCAGCAUGGGUGCACCAGUGAGAAGAGGCUGAGUUCUGGCAGUACUACUGGGAAAGGUAUGUUGCCCCCUCCUCGCCCAGCCCCUGUUGGGGUCUUAUACACCCCCAACCAUCCAGCAAGUGUAUGCUAAGACCCCUCUUUCCCCGACCCAUCAGCAGGUCAGCAGGUGUAUCAUGAGACCUCUCCUCUCCCCGGGCUAUAAAAACACACACAACCGUGCACUCAGGGUCAGCUCUCCCUGAUCAUCAGGAAGUCGGCCCACUGUGUUAACAGCGACUCUCACCUCAAUAAACUUGUCUUUUCUUUUUU